GUUUGGCAGAAGAUAACUUCUUGGAAAAUCACAAAUUGAAUUUUUAUGUAUUUAGUGAAUGGAUUCAAUAUUUGAUAAAAUCUGAGAGUUUCAAAGUGCUGUAUAACACCUUAAUUUAUUUGCCCCAUUUAGAUUCUUUGUACCAUAAAUGAUUCCUCUAUUUUUCAAGCAAAGCACAUCUGACCAUAUGGAAAUAGUUGUAGUCCAGAAAUUAUUUUCCUGGUAAAAUUUCUUGGGUUACUAGUUCAGCCCGAAUCUUGACAUGUAAGCAUUUAAGUUCCUUCUUGGAGCAUGCCUAAUAUGCCUUAAAAUUGUUGUGUGACAGGGAAUUCUAAAAACAUUUUAAGAAUGUUGUAAAUGUUGGUGCUUUGCAGUACGUGUCUACAGGGCGAUCUGAUAGUUGAUAGGUUUAGGGGAAAGGAGAGGACUCCAUGAGCAAAUAAGUCUGGGUAAACUCUGUAAGUAAAGUUAGAUAUUUGUUUUUAUUUUUGACUGCAGGAAUUCUCGCAGCAUUAGUGCCCAUCGACUUUGAAUCUCAUGGAGAGAGUGUUCUGUGGAACGUGUGUACAUAGUUGUAGGGAGCCUUUAUCGUAAAGCUGUUGUAGCUUUGAACGGCAGCCCCCCGGUUCCAGUGUUCGGGGGUUAUUUGGACUGCCUGGACCUCCAGGAGGACCCUUGGCUUCUGCUUGAAAUGCUCUUUAAUCUUCUGUUCAAAAGGCGUCUCCUCUGGAAAGUCUUCCCUGGUGCUUUGGGUAGAAUUAAGAUGUGAAGAAAAUUAGGGUACAAAAUUAAAGCUUGAAAAAGAAAGGCGUUUUUGGAGAGACUCGCCAUUAGUGAGAUGUUCGUGAUGUUGCAGGGGUGCGGGCACAGAGAAAGAAGACUGUGAAAUCAAAUUUGCAUGAGCAGUGUCUGUUUGCUCCACCCUUGCCAAGGAUCUCAGAAGGCUGCCAGGUGGGAGGUGGCUGGAGAAUGGACCAUAUUUCACCUCCUCUAUGUGGAGCUCAUGUCCAGUGCCAAGGCGUCCGAAGACUUAGAUUUCCUGGGCACCGAAACACAGCCAAACCAGUCUUCCCAGGACUUGAUUACUAACAGACUGUCGCCAACAUUGGCCUUUCCUGCUUUGAUCAGUCUUUUGUACCACCUGUCUUUUCUCCCACAAGCCAAGAGGAAGUUGCCAGGAGAGGUUAAACGACUUCCUAAAGCUGGACUGGCAAUCCUGACCUCCAACAUAAUAAUGUCUCAGCAGAACACUACUGAGUUGUCGUGAAAGGGAAGUGGACACUGGAGCAUUUGCUGCCCUGAGGAGAGAGGGGUCCAGGCCAGAAGAACAUAAGGAAGAUCAUGAAGACUCUGUGGCAAGAAGUAAGGUACAGCCAGCCCUGGGGGUGUGGCAUGACCCAGGCUCAGGGUGGGGGAACAUUAUUUCAUAGAUUCUGAUUUCCGCUCAAUAGACAGAAGAGCUGUCAGGACUGCUCUUCACCCCUGUCUUCUGAGAAGGGUUUCUCACGGGCCUGUGGUUUAUCAGCUCUAAAUUAAGUGGUUCACAGUGCCGUUUGCUUUAAGGUAACUUGAAAAGAAAUCUGUUCUAGGCCCUAGAACAGACAGUACAGAAAAGUGGGGUGGAUUAGAAAGUAAAAUCGGGCAUCAGGAUGACAACAGUUUACCCUCACAGAAAGGAAUUUUCUGCCAACUGUUCCUGUAUACUUUUCUUUCAAACAUCCCCUCAUUACCAUUUUAAAACAUGUGCUUAUUCAGCUGCUCUCCAAUUCUGCAGUUUGGCAAAGUAAAGUUGGUAGUAUUAGCCGUUAUGUUGCGGCUUGAGGGCAAGGCAUGCUGGGUCUUUGGCAUUCAGGACAUUGGAAGGCGUGGAGGAAGGAGAGGGCAGCCCAGUUAGAGUCUGGAAGCUGAUAGCCCCAGAUACACAACGGGGAAUGGGCAUAGCAGAGGGGGAUGCAGGAAUUGUUGUAAACCAGGGGACCAGGCAGUCUGUGGUUGCUGUUCCCUGGCAGCAGGAGCAUCCUGCCUUCAGCUUGGAGGGUGGCAAGUCAUCCUAUGAGAGGGUUCCAGAAGACAACAUAGAGGCAGAGUGGCCAGACCUAGCCAAAUGGACUGUGUUUCUGUUUGGGCUUGGGCACUAGACAGGGCAGGAGGCUGCACAAAGGAGGCAGCAGUGCCUGGGGCCUGCUAGGAUCCAGGGAGUAAGCAGAGCUUGGCUUAGGGGCAAAAUGAAAGCUUGGGCUUGGCCCUGCUGUGCCUGGGCUGGGGGC
rnacentral:lncRNA from 1 species